AGUGACAGAUGGAGAAGAGGCACGUCUUGUUGUUCAAAUGGAUACAGAGAGUUCCAUCAUCGACGAGAAAACAUGUCUUGAUUUUUACUUUGACAAACCUGUGAGAGUAAGUAGCAAAACAAACUCUUCAGACAAUGUUGAUGAUAAGAUUUUAAUUAAGCAUAUGACUAUUGUACAGGUGAGUGGAGACAUACGCAUCACAUUCUACCAGAAAAUGAUUGGAAGCCGCCUUUUUUAUACUUGCUUUAACACAGCUUUUAUAACCAAUGGCUUGCUUCAGGUAACAUUCUCCGAUUCCCUUCAGCCAAUGUUGUUCUCUCUUGACAUUCUUAUCAAUGGCCAUUUUCUUGCUCCUGCAGUUU
rnacentral:lncRNA from 1 species